rnacentral:rRNA from 1 species
GACGAACGCUGGCGGCGUGCUUUACACAUGCAAGUCGAACGGUAAGGCCCUUCGGGGUACACGAGUGGCGAACGGGUGAGUAACACGUGGGUGAUCUGCCCUGCACUUCGGGAUAAGCCUGGGAAACUGGGUCUAAUACCGGAUAGGACCCUGGGAUGCAUGUCCUGGGGUGGAAAGCUUUUGCGGUGUGGGAUGGGCCCGCGGCCUAUCAGCUUGUUGGUGGGGUGAUGGCCUACCAAGGCGACGACGGGUAGCCGGCCUGAGAGGGUGACCGGCCACACUGGGACUGAGAUACGGCCCAGACUCCCACAGGAGGCAGCAGUGGGGAAUAUUGCACAAUGGGCGCAAGCCUGAUGCAGCGACGCCGCGUGAGGGAUGACGGCCUUCGGGUUGUAAACCUCUUUCAGCACCGACGAAGCGCAAGUGACGGUAGGUGCAGAAGAAGGACCGGCCAACUACGUGCCAGCCGCCGCAGUAA